rnacentral:rRNA from 1 species
GGUUAAGCGACUAAGCGUACACGGUGGAUGCCCUGGCAGUCAGAGGCGAUGAAGGACGUGCUAAUCUGCGAUAAGCGUCGGUAAGGUGAUAUGAACCGUUAUAACCGGCGAUUUCCGAAUGGGGAAACCCAGUGUGUUUCGACACACUAUCAUUAACUGAAUCCAUAGGUUAAUGAGGCGAACCGGGGGAACUGAAACAUCUAAGUACCCCGAGGAAAAGAAAUCAACCGAGAUUCCCCCAGUAGCGGCGAGCGAACGGGGAGGAGCCCAGAGCCUGAAUCAGUGUGUGUGUUAGUGGAAGCGUCUGGAAAGGCGCGCGAUACAGGGUGACAGCCCCGUACACAAAAAUGCACAUAUUGUGAGCUCGAUGAGUAGGGCGGGACACGUGGUAUCCUGUCUGAAUAUGGGGGGACCAUCCUCCAAGGCUAAAUACUCCUGACUGACCGAUAGUGAACCAGUACCGUGAGGGAAAGGCGAAAAGAACCCCGGCGAGGGGAGUGAAAAAGAACCUGAAACCGUGUACGUACAAGCAGUGGGAGCCUCUUUUAUGGGGUGACUGCGUACCUUUUGUAUAAUGGGUCAGCGACUUAUAUUCUGUAGCAAGGUUAACCGAAUAGGGGAGCCGAAGGGAAACCGAGUCUUAACUGGGCGUUAAGUUGCAGGGUAUAGACCCGAAACCCGGUGAUCUAGCCAUGGGCAGGUUGAAGGUUGGGUAACACUAACUGGAGGACCGAACCGACUAAUGUUGAAAAAUUAGCGGAUGACUUGUGGCUGGGGGUGAAAGGCCAAUCAAACCGGGAGAUAGCUGGUUCUCCCCGAAAGCUAUUUAGGUAGCGCCUCGUGAACUCAUCUCCGGGGGUAGAGCACUGUUUCGGCAAGGGGGUCAUCCCGACUUACCAACCCGAUGCAAACUGCGAAUACCGGAGAAUGUUAUCACGGGAGACACACGGCGGGUGCUAACGUCCGUCGUGAAGAGGGAAACAACCCAGACCGCCAGCUAAGGUCCCAAAGUCAUGGUUAAGUGGGAAACGAUGUGGGAAGGCCCAGACAGCCAGGAUGUUGGCUUAGAAGCAGCCAUCAUUUAAAGAAAGCGUAAUAGCUCACUGGUCGAGUCGGCCUGCGCGGAAGAUGUAACGGGGCUAAACCAUGCACCGAAGCUGCGGCAGCGACGCUGAUGCGUUGUUGGGUAGGGGAGCGUUCUGUAAGCCUGUGAAGGUGUGCUGUGAGGCAUGCUGGAGGUAUCAGAAGUGCGAAUGCUGACAUAAGUAACGAUAAAGCGGGUGAAAAGCCCGCUCGCCGGAAGACCAAGGGUUCCUGUCCAACGUUAAUCGGGGCAGGGUGAGUCGACCCCUAAGGCGAGGCCGAAAGGCGUAGUCGAUGGGAAACAGGUUAAUAUUCCUGUACUUGGUGUUACUGCGAAGGGGGGACGGAGAAGGCUAUGUUGGCCGGGCGACGGUUGUCCCGGUUUAAGCGUGUAGGCUGGUUUUCCAGGCAAAUCCGGAAAAUCAAGGCUGAGGCGUGAUGACGAGGCACUACGGUGCUGAAGCAACAAAUGCCCUGCUUCCAGGAAAAGCCUCUAAGCAUCAGGUAACAUCAAAUCGUACCCCAAACCGACACAGGUGGUCAGGUAGAGAAUACCAAGGCGCUUGAGAGAACUCGGGUGAAGGAACUAGGCAAAAUGGUGCCGUAACUUCGGGAGAAGGCACGCUGAUAUGUAGGUGAAGUCCCUCGCGGAUGGAGCUGAAAUCAGUCGAAGAUACCAGCUGGCUGCAACUGUUUAUUAAAAACACAGCACUGUGCAAACACGAAAGUGGACGUAUACGGUGUGACGCCUGCCCGGUGCCGGAAGGUUAAUUGAUGGGGUCAGCGCAAGCGAAGCUCUUGAUCGAAGCCCCGGUAAACGGCGGCCGUAACUAUAACGGUCCUAAGGUAGCGAAAUUCCUUGUCGGGUAAGUUCCGACCUGCACGAAUGGCGUAAUGAUGGCCAGGCUGUCUCCACCCGAGACUCAGUGAAAUUGAACUCGCUGUGAAGAUGCAGUGUACCCGCGGCAAGACGGAAAGACCCCGUGAACCUUUACUAUAGCUUGACACUGAACAUUGAGCCUUGAUGUGUAGGAUAGGUGGGAGGCUUAGAAGUGUGGACGCCAGUCUGCAUGGAGCCGACCUUGAAAUACCACCCUUUAAUGUUUGAUGUUCUAACGUGGACCCGUGAUCCGGGUUGCGGACAGUGUCUGGUGGGUAGUUUGACUGGGGCGGUCUCCUCCUAAAGAGUAACGGAGGAGCACGAAGGUUGGCUAAUCCUGGUCGGACAUCAGGAGGUUAGUGCAAUGGCAUAAGCCAGCUUGACUGCGAGCGUGACGGCGCGAGCAGGUGCGAAAGCAGGUCAUAGUGAUCCGGUGGUUCUGAAUGGAAGGGCCAUCGCUCAACGGAUAAAAGGUACUCCGGGGAUAACAGGCUGAUACCGCCCAAGAGUUCAUAUCGACGGCGGUGUUUGGCACCUCGAUGUCGGCUCAUCACAUCCUGGGGCUGAAGUAGGUCCCAAGGGUAUGGCUGUUCGCCAUUUAAAGUGGUACGCGAGCUGGGUUUAGAACGUCGUGAGACAGUUCGGUCCCUAUCUGCCGUGGGCGCUGGAGAACUGAGGGGGGCUGCUCCUAGUACGAGAGGACCGGAGUGGACGCAUCACUGGUGUUCGGGUUGUCAUGCCAAUGGCACUGCCCGGUAGCUAAAUGCGGAAGAGAUAAGUGCUGAAAGCAUCUAAGCACGAAACUUGCCCCGAGAUGAGUUCUCCCUGACCCUUUAAGGGUCCUGAAGGAACGUUGAAGACGACGACGUUGAUAGGCCGGGUGUGUAAGCGCAGCGAUGCGUUGAGCUAACCGGUACUAAUGAACCGUGAGGCUUAACCUU